GAUGAACGCUGGCGGCGUGCCUAAUACAUGCAAGUCGGACGCAAUGCUUCGGCAUUGAGUGGCGAACGGGUGAGUAAUACAUAAGCAACCUGCCCCUGUGAGGGGGAUAACUGCUGGAAACGGCAGCUAAGACCGCAUAGGCAUACAUGACGCAUGUCGAGUAUGUUAAAUAUCCCACGGGAUAGCACAGGGAUGGGCUUAUGACGCAUUAGCUAGCUGGUGAGGUAGAGGCUCACCAGGGCGACGAUGCGUAGCCGGCCUGAGAGGGUGGACGGCCACACUGGGACUGAGACACGGCCCAGACUCCUACGGGAGGCAGCAGUAGGGAAUUUUCGGCAAUGGGCGAAAGCCUGACCGAGCAACGCCGCGUGAAGGAAGAAGUCAUUCGUGAUGUAAACUUCUGUUAUAAAGGAAGAACGGCGCCUGUAGGGAAUGACAGGCGAGUGACGGUACUUUAUGAGGAAG
rnacentral:rRNA from 1 species